GGCUGGUCUGAUGAUAGUGGGUUAUCAGAACUUGUUAACAUAGUGUCACUAAAGUUGGUAUUCAACCCCCCACUGCUAAAUUAGACUAGCUUAAA
rnacentral:Y_RNA from 1 species